rnacentral:misc_RNA from 1 species
GUUAUUUGACUGGAGUGAGGUCUCAUGUCUGCUUAUGCGGUGGCUCGCUGCUCAGAACAGG